AUUGAACGCUGGCGGCAGGCCUAACACAUGCAAGUCGAACGAGUGGCGGACGGGUGAGUAAUGUCUGGGCAACUGCCUGAUGGUGGGGGAUAACCACUGGAAACGGUAGCUAAUACCGCAUACCAUCAGAUGCGCCCAGCUGGGAUUAGCUUGUCGGUGGGGUAACGGCUCACCAAGGCGACGACCCCUAGCUGGUCUGAGAGGAUGAACUGCCACACUGGAACUGAGACACGGUCCAGACUCCUACGGGAGGCAGCAGUAGGGAAUAGUGCGCAAUGGGCGCAAGCCUGAUGGAGCAAUGCCGCGUGAAUGAAGAAGGCCUUCGGAUUGUAAAGUACUGUCAGUGGGGAGGCGUUACCCGAAGAAGAAGCACCGGCUAACUCCGUGCCAGCAGCCGCGGUAAUAC
rnacentral:rRNA from 1 species